rnacentral:rRNA from 1 species
UCCCAGACUCCUACGGGAGGCAGCAGUGGGGAAUAUUGCACAAUGGGGGGAACCCUGAUGCAGCAACGCCGCGUGGGUGAAGAAGUACUCCGGUAUGUAAAGCCCUGUCAGCAGGGAAGAAAAUGGCGGUACCUGACCAAGAAGCCCCGGCUAACUACGUGCCAGCAGCCGCGGUAAUACGUAGGGGGCAAGCGUUAUCCGGAUUCACUGGGUGUAAAGGGAGCGUAGACGGCCAUGCAAGCCUGGAGUGAAAGCCCGGGGCCCAACCCCGGGACUGCUCUGGGAACUGUGCGGCUGGAGUGCGGGAGGGGCAGGCGGAAUUCCUGGUGUAGCGGUGAAAUGCGUAGAUAUCAGGAGGAACACCGGCGGCGAAGGCGGCCUGCUGGACCGCGACUGACGUUGAGGCUCGAAAGCGUGGGGAGCAAACAGGAUUAGAUGCCCCUGUA